AUUUCAUGGGGUGUAUCUAAAAACCAUUUACAAAAGCUGCAAAUCUUUUUUGCUGCCAAUACAAACUCUCCCCUUCUAACCCCGCCCAUACUUUCUGUGGCUGUCCAAUCACAGACUUCCCAAUGCAGCUCAGUGAGAAGUCUUUGCAAGGCAGGCGCUCUGGGCAAUUGAUGGCUCUUGAGUUUACUUCCACAGAGCUAAACACAUAGGAAGUAACAGGACUGAUUGUCUUAUUGACAGUAUAACCAGGUUAAUUUAUAAAAGUUAAUUUCUAUUAAAAUGUGCACUUAUUGUAAAAUGAGAGGGGGAGGGGGUGGAGAAGACACGCUUUACACAUAAACCACUUCAACAAGCCUAAAUGCUCAAGGGGCCUGUACAGUGCAGAAGAUGAGGAGUCACAUUUUACUCCAGGACAGAAUUGAGUGAAUUGGUGUUUCUAUAAAAGUGUUAGAUAUGUGUAUUAAACAAAUUCAAAUAUGGAUAAAUAUUUACUCUGUGAUGAAAAUUUAAAAAAAAAGUUAGAAGUGCGGAACAAUUGUAACUCAGCUGCGAUUUAAAAGUAGCUGCUGCAAAGAUAACUCAGGUAGACAGCCAUUAGUGGUGGAGUUAACCCUGCAAGGUCAUUAUUGCAGUUUAUCAAGAUUACCAUUGCAGGGUUAUCGGACCCAGACCACUUCAAUCAGCUGAAGUCUAUAGUGUCCCUUUAAUUGUAGCUGGGUGUAACGGAUCCCCUAUACUCCGACUGAGUAUAUCUGUUAUAAAUCUCCCGAGUCCCAAGCGCAAUAGUGAUUACAGCUCCCAAUUCCCCAAACAUCAGCCUAGACUUGAUGAAGAGUAGAAACGAAUGUGUUUAAUCUGGCCAACUGGCCCACUUAUAUACAAAAUCAGGAGGCAUGAAAACACGCCCAGAACACUGCCACAACAUGGCUACAAACUACAGUGUCAACAUGAUUAGGCAUAAAUGAUAUAAAAUAUUAAUACACAUGUAGGAACCUCCACAAAUAUGAUAUCCCCGGAUAGCCUGGAUCUGAGCGCCCAAGUUGUUCAAAUAGCGCUCAGAUCCCACGGAUACAGUCGAAUCGCCACCGGAGUAAAGUUUUGCCCGACCGCUCAUGAGGCGUCUGCCCAAAUUAGUUCCAUAGUUUCGGUGGUAGAGGUCGGUCAAUUUCAGUAUGUACAAGGUUUGUUUGCCUUGUACAUACGAACAAACCUACCGAACAGCGCUCUCCUGGCCUGUUGCAGAAAGA